rnacentral:rRNA from 1 species
GAUGAACGCUGGCGGCGUGCCUAAUACAUGCAAGUCGAGCGAACAGACGAGGAGCUUGCUCCUCUGACGUUAGCGGCGGACGGGUGAGUAACACGUGGAUAACCUACCUAUAAGACUGGGAUAACUUCGGGAAACCGGAGCUAAUACCGGAUAAUAUAUUGAACCGCAUGGUUCAAUAGUGAAAGACGGUUUUGCUGUCACUUAUAGAUGGAUCCGCGCCGCAUUAGCUAGUUGGUAAGGUAACGGCUUACCAAGGCAACGAUGCGUAGCCGACCUGAGAGGGUGAUCGGCCAAAAGGGAACUGAGACACGGUCAAGACGCCUACGGGAGGCAGCAGUAGGGAAUCUUACGCAAUGGGCGAAAGCCUGACGGAGCAACGCCGCGUGAGUGAUGAAGGUCUUCGGAUCGUAAAACUCUGUUAUUAGGGAAGAACAAAUGUGUAAGUAACUAUGCACGUCUUGACGGUACCUAAUCAGAAAGCAACGGCUAACUACGUG